rnacentral:lncRNA from 1 species
AAAAAAUACAGAGUGGAAAUUAGAAAUCACUGGAUUGUAGUUACAAAUCAUUUUCCUCUUCUGUUCUUAACAUUAGCAACAUUAAUUUUUAAUGUUUCCAUUUACAAAUUACACUCUUUAAUGUUGAACUGCCGUAUUUACACCAAAAUUUCUUUGCUGCCUACAACUUUUUGGUCUUCCUUUGCUCAUGGUGACCUUUGUGUUUGUCAUCUAUUUACCUAGAUAUUUUUCUACUCUUCAUGAAGGAAUAAAGCCAAAUUAUUCUGUAGCAUAAAUCCACAAUUAUCAUUUUGUGUUCAGGGCUGAAGACUGAGCUAUCCUGUACUGGGAAACAGCAUAUAUACAUAACAAAGUGCACUAACCAUGUGGAACGUGGUUGAGCUGCAGUGCUGACAGAGGGAGACCGCAAACAGUGACAAACGAUUGGCAAAGAAGUACUGUGCAUCACCUGAUUGAAGCAGCCGGAUUUCUUUAACAGUGGAGCUGUAGCCGAUGUAAUGAACACUUGUAGAAAAAUCAGUUGCGACUCCAGCUUUCAGAUUUACUUUUCAGGCUGGCCUUACGUGUUUACUGCUAUGGUGUGUACAGUGCUCUGUGGGUACUCUCCUGUCAUCAGAAUUUCACAGAAAUAUUGGCAAAGAAGGUGUAAGGUAGUUUUUCUGUCCUGUGGCUCAGGAUUGCAUGGUGUCCACAAGACUGCAUUGCUGGUAAUCAUGGAAGUUCAAGAAGACAAAAGAAAGGUUGCCUCCAGUGAACAAGCUAAGUGAUGACAUGGGCUGAAUCACAGCAGCUGCUAAUGGCUGUGGGAUGAUAAAGGCUGAAGCUGAGUAUGAAGAAGAUUAUGAUCAUACCUGAAGUUUCAGACAGUGGUGUACCAAUAUCCAAACUGCAUUGCUUUAGAUUCUAUAAACUUGAAUUAAUAACACUUCACGUAUAACAUCUUGUAUUUAUAUAUCUUUUAUAUUUUUCCUCGCUUCUCCAAAUCGGGUUUCUUUGGUGACUGCUGUAUUUUCUUGUGCUGUGGAAUUCAGCACGCUACUUUGCUGUAGAGGCAUGAAUCACCUCUCACGUUAGCGUGAAUUGCCUCUGCGAACAGCUAGGGGGCUGUAUUAUUCCACUUUUAAAGCAAUAAGACAUGAAUUGAGGAAUAUACAUAUUAUCAGGCCGUCUUAACAACUUCUUCCUUACCGGUUUGGGCAAACACCAGUGUCUGUGCCCGUGUGUCAGUAUUUAAAGUUUAAUGGGAUCAUUUGUAUCAGGUAUGGAACAUCACAAUAGGCUACAGUUUUGCUUGUAUAUUCACAUCUUUAAGGGUGAAUGCAUUUGGAGAGGUGUACCUUCUGUUCUGUUUCUCACCUGUAAGCGGUCUGAAUAGCACCAUGGUGUUUUAGCAUUUAUGUAUCUGUUCUACUGAAAUCAAAAUAAUGUCACAUUAGAUAUGAAUUCAUGGAGAAAUUUGGCAACUUUUUUUCUUCCAGGUGGUCUGAUACUACAUGAACACAACCUCUGGUGAGGAUGGGGAAGCAAGACAGUAGGGAGAAUUUCUGGAUGAGAACAUCUGUAUGACUUUGCUACCAGGUCAGUCCAGAGGUGUAAUGGUUUGGUUUUUUCUUUCUUUCUCUCUCUCUCUUUGGGUUGUUUGUUUGUUUUGUGCAGGUAGCUUUAUUUUAUUAUACUUCUGCGUGAAUUAGGCCACUCAGUAAUUUGGAUUGCACUUGCACUAGGUUUUUAUUUGAUUACCGUGUGAACGCUCAUUGUUUACUUUGCUUUUGUUUUAUGUUUUUCCUGAUACUUACUGAAAGCUCUAAACCCAAGUAAAUGACAAGUUCAGUAAAAACUCAAUUGUGCUUUUGUGCUGCAAAAGCCCAUUCAAGGCUUCAUAAGCCCCUCAAAAUUGAUUUCUGGAGCACUGUUAUUUAAUCUGUCCUUCAGAAAACUUUAAUGCCUUGGGCAAAUCCUUCUUGCCUUAUUCCCACCACUAGGUUCUCUGACUUCGUGGCAAGCAGAUAAAUGUAAGACAAAAAAAAAAGCAGUGCAGUCCUUAGUAAUUCUCUUAACUUGUCUACUCUCCCUUUCUCACUAUUGAAUAAAACCUGUGUAAACACUAUAUUUUGCA